AUUGAACGCUGGCGGCAGGCCUAACACAUGCAAGUCGAACGAGUGGCGGACGGGUGAGUAAUGUCUGGGAAACUGCCCGAUGGAGGGGGAUAACUACUGGAAACGGUAGCUAAUACCGCAUACCAUCGGAUGUGCCCAGAUGGGAUUAGCUAGUAGGUGGGGUAACGGCUCACUUAGGCGGCGAUCCCUAGCUGGUCUGAGAGGAUGACCAGACACAAUGGAACUGUGACACGGUCCAGAAUCCUACGGGAGUCAGCAGUGGGGAAUAUUGAACAAUGGGCGCAAGCCUGUUGCUGCCAUGCGUCGUGUCUGAAGAAGGCCUUCGGGUUGUAAAGUACUUUCAGCGAGGAUGCGUUACUCGCAGAAGAAGCACCGGCUAACUCCGUGCCAGCAGCCGCGGUAAUUC
rnacentral:rRNA from 1 species